GUGUCCCUAUAGGGCUGGGUAUAUAGGGCCAGGGUCUCCCUAUGGGGCUGGAUGCAUAGGGAAGGGUCGCUGUGGGGCUGGAUAUAUAGGGCCAGGGUCUCCCUAUGGAUCUGGAUGUAUAGGGGAGGGUCGCUGUGGGGCUGGAUAUAUAGGGCCAGGGUCUCCCUAUGGAUCUGGAUGCAUAGGGGCAGGGUCUCCCUAUGGAUCUGGAUGCGUAGGGGAGGGCCUCUCCCUGUGGGGCUGGACAUGUAGGGGCAGGAUCUCCCUGUGGGGCUGGCUUCUAUAGGACUGGUUGUAUAGGGGAGGGGGUUCCCUAUGGGGCAGGGUCUCUGCGGGGCUGGAUGUAUAGGGGAUGGGUCUCCCUGUGGGGCUGGAUGUAUAGGGGCAGGGCGUCCCUAUGGGGCAGGGCUCUGGGGCGGCGUGUGUGGGGAUCUCCGAGGGGUCCGUCUAUAGGGCAGGAUCUAUAGGGCAGGUGGCUGUCCCUAUAGGGCAGGGCCUGACCCCCCCCCCCCAUGCACACACAGCCCCGGGACCCAGCGGCUCCCCCCCCACGGUGCACACGCGUGUGCCGGGCCGUGCGGUGCACACACAAACACACACGUGUGCCUGCGCACACGCGUGUGCAACCGCACGCACGGACCGGCACGCUCGCACGUGCAAACGCACACGCGUGCAAUUGCACACGCCUGCACACGCCUGCACACGCAUGUCCCGGUGCACGCACGUGCAAAUGCGCUUGUAUUUAAGUGUGCAAUUGCACACAUGUGCACACGCCUGCACACGCGUGUCCCGGUGCAAACAUGUGCAAACGCGCUUGUAUUUAAGUGUGCAAUUGCACACACCUGCACACGCCUGCACACGCGUGUCCCGGUGCACGCACGUGCAAAUGCGCUUGCAUUUAAGUGUGCAAUUGCACACGCCUGCACAUGCCUGCACACGCGUGUCCUGGUGCACGCACGUGCAAAUGCGCUUGUAUUUAAGUGUGCAAAUGCACACACGUGCACACGCCUGCACACGCGUGUCCCGGUGCACGCACGUGCAAAUGCGCUUGUAUUUAAGUGUGCAAUUGCACACGUGUGCACACGCCUGCACACGCGUGUCCCGGCGCAUGCACGUGCAAACACGCUUGCAUUUAAGUGUGCAAUUGCACACGCCUGCACACGCCUGCACACGCGUGUCCUGGCGCAUGCCCGUGCANNNNNNNNNNNNNNNNNNNNNNNNNNNNNNNNNNNNNNNNNNNNNNNNNNNNN
rnacentral:lncRNA from 1 species